UGCAGUCGAGCGAACAGAUGAAGUGCUUGCACUUCUGACGUUAGCGGCGAACGGGUGAGUAACACGUAAGGAAUCUACCUAUAAGCGGGGGAUAACAUUCGGAAACGGGUGCUAAUACCGCAUAAUAUCUUCUUCCGCAUGGAAGAAGAUUGAAAGACGGCUCUGCUGUCACUUAUAGAUGACCUUGCGGUGCAUUAGUUAGUUGGUGGGGUAACGGCCUACCAAGACGAUGAUGCAUAGCCGACCUGAGAGGGUGAUCGGCCACAUUGGGACUGAGACACGGCCCAAACUCCUACGGGAGGCAGCAGUAGGGAAUCUUCCGCAAUGGGCGAAAGCCUGACGGAGCAAUGCCGCGUGAGUGAAGAAGGCCUUCGGGUCGUAAAACUCUGUUAUAAGAGAAGAACAAAUUGUAGAGUAACUGCUACAGUCUUGACGGUAUCUUAUCAGAAAGCCACGGCUAACUACGUGCCAGCAGCCGCGGUAAUACGUAGGUGGCAAGCGUUGUCCGGAUUUAUUGGGCGUAAAGGGAGCGCAGGUGGUUUCUUAAGUCUGAUGUGAAAGCCCACGGCUUAACCGUGGAGGGUCAUUGGAAACUGGGAAACUUGAGUACAGAAGAGGAAUGUGGAACUCCAGGUGUAGCGGUGGAAUGCGUAGAUAUAUGGAAGAACACCAGUGGCGAAGGCGACAUUCUGGUCUGUUACUGACACUGAGGCUCGAAAGCGUGGGGAGCAAACAGGAUUAGGUACCCUGGUAGUCCACGCCGUAAAC
rnacentral:rRNA from 1 species